GAGAAUCUCUUGAACCCGGGAGGCGGAGGCCGCAGUGAGCCGAGAGCCGAGAUCGCGCCACUGCACGCCAGCCUGGGCGACAGAUCGUCCUCGUUCCUUCGGUUUCAAGGUUUUUUUCUCACAUCGCUUCCUGGUUGUUCUCCAGUAGGACUAGGUUUCUCUUUAUACCUCGCAAGCGGGUCCACGAGAUCUUCAUUAGUGAGCGCGGUUACCUCGAGAUCAGCUUUAUCUUUUGGACCCAGGAGUCUUCCAGGAACGCUGGCAUAUCCAGGAGCUGCGAGUCCCGCUCCCGGCAGCCUUCGCAGCCUCCGGUCCCGCCCGAGCUCGCCCGGGCCUCGCGGCUCCCGCCCCGGAGGAGCGCCGCGGAGCAGGGCAAAAACUUGCGGACAGAAAGCCAGGCCAGACCCGACACAAAAGCCCCGGGGCUGAACGAUGCAGACACCCGCGGCCAAGCCGGAAGCCCGCACCAACCCCAGCCCCCACACUACAGGCCACUUAUUUUAUUUUAUUCUUUUUAAAAUGUGGGUUUCUGGUCUAUGCAAUUCACCUCGGUGUGACUCAGGAAGGACACUGGAAGUCCACUGAUCUGGCCAGGACAGAACCACGUGUGUGUUUAGGAAAAGUGGCCUUCUGUUCUCCAUCCCUAGGGGCUCACGGGAUACCCUUAGAACAGACUGGCCACAGGAAUUCCCAGUUAAGGCAGAAGGUUGACAUGAGAUCAGUGUUUCAGGAUUAAGUUCUCACGAAGGGCAGAAAACUGGGAAGCCCAUACUUUUCCACGUUAAUCAAUUGGUUCCAUAAACAUCAUUCCAUUUAUGUUUUUGUGUUUUUUAUUAAUAAUUCCUUUGAGCUUCACUGGGAGAGAUGAGUAUGACUGUGGAGCUCAGUUCUGUAAAGCAUGGGGUGGCUAAGAAAGGGAAGUAACUGGCCCCAGAAUCCCACAGUCACCCAGUGACCUUCAGCCCAAGAAUCUGAUGGCCACUGCUGCACUCCAAGGGAAAGGAGGCCAUCCGGAGAGAAGAGAAUUACAAGAAUAAGAGUGCAGAGAGUGUCCCACAGUCCUGAGAUUCGUACAGAAGCACAGGAGGAAGCAAGUGUCCAAGUAUCCAGAGUCCUGUGAAGUAGGGAUUUCAGUCCUCAAAGCUACCCUCUCCCAUCUGCCAAGUCUUCUGUGGACGUGCGUGGCUGUGUUUCCCUUCCCAUUCCCUUUGGGCAGUGUGCUAUAGGUUUCCAUGUGAGGGCCAGUACUCCUUGCCUCUCAUCUCCCUCUCCAUUUUGCCGCAAAUGCAAGGGACCCCAUACUCGCCCUUGCCCCACCUCUUGCCUCUCCUGGGGACAUUCUUCCUGCUCAGUAGUGGGCCUUGUGAGGACCUGCAGGACAGCCUGAGUGGGAGCUACCCCAAGGGCCCAAGGAGUUCCAGGAACCCCAUCUGCACUCACUCACCUCCCCAUCAAGCGCCCCUGCAUUCUUCCUGCACUGCACUCCAGGUGUUGACAGCUCCUGGGCAGGGUAGCAGGUUCCAGGGAGCCCAGGCUGAAUGGAGCUUGGGAGCUGAGGUCCUCUGCUGGGGAUUCACUGUUCCAAGAGGACAGGAUUCUGCCUUUAUGGGGGAAGGGCUGGAUAGGAACCAGGAGACCAGUUAUAGGCCCGUUGCUAUCAAUCCUGGGACCAGUUAAUUGAUCUGUGUUCAGUACAGGAUAGCAAAAAUGGACUUGACCUUUUCUCUGUGUAACUUUUUUCAGAAACCAUCACGUCCAGCCUUCCUUCCCUGGGCACAGAGGAGACCUGCCUCAGGCGAAGUUCUUCUGUGGAAUUAAAAAGUCUCUUGGGCUCAGCUCUCCCCAGGGGCCUUCAGAACUCACCAAGGAUAGAGCUGCAGACCUCUGGUGGUCAAAUAGGGACUAAAACCGAUUACACCUACAAGUCAAUUGCAAAUCAGUCUUUCUUUCUGUUGCACCUGUGCCCCUCACUUAGUCACCUGUCUUAGAUGGAAGCUUCGGGCCCCUCCUGGGCCCCAACCCUGCGGUCCCCAGGUUCCCGGUUUUUCACGUCUAAUCUCAAUUGGCCCCUUCCCCACACACCGUGUUUGACCACCCAGUUCACAGAACGCCCCGGGCUUCCUAGUGGGCCAGGUCCUCCUUAGAGAGGCAAGAAGGUGGAGAGGGAGCGUGGACGCCGAGCGCCUGCUGGGCAAACCCGAAUCUGGGGCCUGACCUAGCCGGUAGCCGGUGACGGGGCCGGUGGUGGCUUGGAGACUCCUCUCUGGUCCUCUGCUCUUGGCCCCAGCCCCACGCUCACAGCCACCUCCUGAAGCCGCCAGUGCUGCGUCCUCUUGGCCACGUAGGGGAAGAGCGGACUGGACGGAAGCAGCGGACUCUGGGCGCUGUCAAGGUCACUGUUGUGAAAAGCCGGGAGACCAGAUGUGGACACAGGGAGGCCUGGACCCGAGGCGCGGCUGGCCAGAGGCCUCGUGUCUGCCCCUCUUCACAGCUUCCAGGGAAGCUCCCCGCGUAUCCUCAAAGCAGAGAGCGGUUUCCAAACGGACCCCCACAGCGCCCGAUUGGGCCAUCCCGCCCCAGGCUGGAGGGUGGGUGCUCAUGGGGUCGCCAGUCACCAAGGGCCCCAUCUGAGCGCACCCGGUCCCUCCUCCAGGCUCGCCUGGGCCUCGAGGGCGGCGAACAGCUCGGCUUUGAAGAAGGCUCCGGCCGGCGCUGCCCAAGUCGGGCAGCCUUCCUGGCCCACCCGGGAGUUGAGUUUCAAGGCUUCCCGGAGAGGCCAGCCCAGAUUCGCAGCGGAGAGUUUCUCAGGCCACAAACCUCGGAGAGAAGCAGCCGUGGUUCCCUGUGCCCUGGGCCACCGCUGGGCGGGGCAGGAAGCCUCCCUGGCGUUUCCUCGCGGGCGCGACUACGAGCCGCGGAAACCAGUGGCCGCUCCACACUAUUUAAGCUGAGGUUCCUCUGCCAUGGCUGCGGUUUGCGGUUUCAGCUUAGUGUACCACUUAGUACUAAUAUUAUUACUUAGUGAACUUAGUGCACUUAGUGCUCUAAGUUUACCAAGUUUACCAUUUAUUGUACUUAGUGUACUUAGUGCUCUAAGUUUACCAAGUUUACCACUUAGUGUACCUAGUCUACUUAAUCAACACUUAGUGUAUUUAGUGUUUCAGCUUAGUGUAGAGAGGCUUCUUUCUUCCUUUUCUGGAGGAGUCAGUGGUUAGAGACGAUUUCCGUGGUUAGAGCGUACUUGGUCUUUAGAAGACGACUUUGGUGUCCAUUGCCAACCCCAUCAGAGAUCGCAGGCCUUUUCCCCUCAGUCCCAGCUCAUCAGCAAAGGUCUGGGUGGCUGUCUCCAGAGGAGACUGAACGAGGUUGUCAAAGCGGCUGGAUCAAAAGUGUUGCCAUGUCGGAUGGAGUGGUGUCCACGAUGAACCUGAGCAUGGAGAUUUCUCCCUCUGCGCUGAGGAUCUCACUGUGCACCUCCAGCCCUGGGUCCUGGUGGGCUCUGGUGGCCACUGGAGUCUUUGGAACUGCCUCCCUCUGGCUCUGCUGGGGUUGGAUUCGGGCAUCGAUGUCACACCCAGCAGGAACAACUGGGGCCACUGGAGGAUUCCCAAGGACACAGGUUGUCCUUUUCAUGCAGGAAGAAUCUGAAUCGUUUCCAUCCAGUUUCCCCGGCAUGCAGCAGAAUACAACACAAGGGGCUGCGGUCUUCUCUGACUCUUAAGGCCCUUGGAAGAUCCUGUUCUGCCAAAAUCAGGGUGAUUUGGGCAAGCAUCCUUAGGGCUCUGGACCUUAGUUUCUUUCCCUGGUUGAUUGAUUGACCAUAUAGGUGUCCUAACUCACAUAGUUGAAAAUCAGAUGUGGUGAAAGUGCAUUGAGACCAGAAACAAUGUUAUUGUCCUGAAAUGCAUGCCCAGAGAGCACUGAAUAAAUUUUUAAAAC